AGGUCGCACUCCUCACCCCAGAACUGAAAAUGCACGGCCGCAGUCUCAUCUGCCACAAGUGCCAAGCAUGUCUUGCUCUGUCCUUCUGUGGCAACCCUGCCUUUGUCCAAUAGAAUGAAUUGUGUGGUUAUGUUGUUCUGUGCUGCAGGUGAUAUGUCUUUGAUAGAGAGCAUACUGGCGUAACCUUAAAAAGAGAAGAUACAGAGUCACUGAAACUAUAUGACCAAGAAGUUAAAAGAAAACUACAAUACGAAGGCAACCUUAUAAUACUCACUUUGGAAUGAACUUGUCAUAAGCACAAACUAGGGAGUUCUAUGCAAUAAAGAUGAGUUUUAGUUCUGGAAGAACAGAACAACAAACUAUUUCUCACUGCAGACAGGCUUCUUUCAGUCUCAACUCAACCUCAAACGACCAGAAACGUGGUCGGCCGUGCCUCCGAAACACCGCCUGGCCCCGAUCUGAACAGAGGAGCGGACGGCAGGAUUUCCGACCUGAACAGAGGUGAGGUGUCAGGGCCCGACCCGACCGGAGGUGUGGUCGACGACGACUCCGAAUCACCAACAGGCCCGGAUCUAACCAGAAGACCAGUCGGGUACACGUCUCAAGCUCCACCAAGCCUCGGUCCGACCAGAGGGGCUGUCGGCUGCAGCUCCGGAACCCAGCUGCGAGCUUCCCCGACACGCGGAGCUGUAGCUUGCAUCUGCCGCGACUCCUCGGCAGGAUUAUAGAUGGGUUUGCCAAAUCAAUGGAGGCUAACUCAGCAGAACAAGCAACGGCAGCAGCCUUGGUUUUUUUUUUUUUUUUUAAGGCAGCAGCCUUGAUUGAAACCUAGAUUUUAUUUCCUUAAACCUUGCCCUGAACAAAACAAGAAGAGAGAUGCAAGUACACCCUGACUGCAGUAGGCUCGUGGAAAGUGUUCUCACUUUGGUUGGCAAUCAUUAUAAGUUUUAAAAUUUAUAAUACAUUUUUCAUAAUUUAUUCAAUUGAUUGAGUGCUAAAGUUUCCACACAAUGUUCAUUUGAGUAUUAUAAUUAUCACUUCAAUACCAUUAUUGUGUGACAUGGUGCUCGUGAUGAAUGUUUUUCAAAAGUUAUAUCACUCUCACAAUAAAUUGAAAAGUUAAGAAAAUCAAGUGAAAUUCUUUUAAAGUCAUGAACUCGAUUGAAAAGUUAGAAUACUCAUGUAAAUACCGUACGGAAAUUAUGACACUUAAAAUGUCUUUUAUUUUCAUAAAUAAAUCAAAGUAAUUUGGACCAUGGAAUUCUAGGACCUUUCCGCCUCAAAGCAUUUCAAGCACCUCGAACUGUCGAUUUCGCAUAGGACCAAAGUACAUGUGUAACUCGAUUAUGGUUAGAAGUUGUAUGCACAUUAGUUCCACAAUCCAGUGAAAUUAUUUUAAAGUCACGAUACUUAAGUGAUCAAUGGUUAGAGCGCUUAUUUAAAUACCGUAUGAAAUUAAUAUGAUACUUAUAAUACUCUUAUUUCCAUGAUUAGAUCGAAUUUGUUUGGACCAUGAAAUUCCAGGACCUCUCCGUCUUAAAGCAUUUCAAGCCGUCCCAACUGUCGAUUUUGUUGGUUUCAAGCCGUCCCAGAUCGAGUAACUCGAUCUGGGUCAGAAGUUGUAUAAAGUUUAAUUCCACAAAUAGCAGUUUCAGUAUCCAUUAAUACACCUCAUCUUGCAGGAGACCAAUGCGGAGAAGAAUCCUGAAUACCGUUGGCUUGUUGUAAAAUUUCGAGAAUGGCAAACUGGAAAUGAAAGAGUUGAGAAUGGCCGAGGCGUAUAAUGGCCAUCCUCAAAAGUAAAAUUCCACCGUUCAAAAAGUACAGAAGGUGUGUCGCGGCUAUCUUUGGGAAUUGACAGACCUUGUUAAUAGUGUACCCCACACCAUUUAGGUAAAGAAGGAAUAGCAUGAAAUGCAUAACCAUCGCAGAGCAAAAGAAACAAGUAUUUCUGUGUGAAAAUUUUCAGGUGCAUAGAUUUGGGCAUAUCAAAUAGCGAACAAAGAGGUUGGUAUUUGUAGAAGAAAGACGGGAGUAUAUAGGCAUCAGCUAGUUUGACUAAGAAUAAAUGUCACCACGGCUUGGGUAAUAACUAAGCAAUGGCUAGCACAUCAAAUUAGCAUAGGCCAGUAGAAGGUCAGCAAUGGUCGAAGGUCACGUCUAUGGGUAUUAGAUUCAGUGCAAAUAGACAUUUUGAAAUACACUUCACAUAACAAUCUCCCACAUACUUCAGAAGUUAUCCUGAAGAAGAGAAAGAACAAAUGCUGGUUUCAUAGUGGAGUGCAAUACAAUCUGGUGUCUUUUGGUCUAUGAACCAGACUUAGAAAUAAUGCGACAUACCUUACAGAACCAAUGAUGAAGCUUAUGCCUUCUAUGAACCAAGGUUGUAGGUUAAAGUCCUCACUCAUCACUCUACACCCUCACAAUAUUUGCCGUCCAACUUGAGUAUGUGCUAAUAGGCCGUUCGCACAGCUGGUUACUCAUGAGUGCUAUAAAGAUUCGGCAAUAAAUCCCUUAAAAGUGAACCCAUUCCACACUCGUAUAGGUGUUCCAUCAAGUGUACAAUUCAAUAAUUACACUAUCCAUAACAUUUUGGAAUUCAUUAAGAACUUAACCCAUUCUCACUUAAUAUGCAAUUUAGCACCAAUCACAUACAUCAUAGGAAGGAGGGACUUUGAAACAUUUUUGGUGCUAUAAGAUCAACAAAAAGGCUAGCUAUAAGCCAUACGAACCUACUUCAUGGGAUCUCCACUACAUUACCUAUAUAUUAGUUGGGUUACUGCCAUCAUAGAUAUCUCAAAUUGGCAUGAAUCUCAUUCCUCUCGAUGUUUCAAUUAUUUGUUUUCUUCUAGAAAUUUGUCAGAAAAUUGGCCAAAUCUCCUUUCGACUUCAACUGAUUGAAUCAAUCUAAAUCCAUGCUAAAGCAACUGCUUCAAGAAAUAAUGUUUCAAUGGAAUUUGUCUUCUCUUGUCAUUGUGUGCUUUAUCUUUAGCAACGGCUAUUGUAGUUUGGCAAUUAGAGCGCAUGGACACAUACGUUGUUGGUUUCAUGCACAACAAAAGUUCUGCUAGGAAAUCCCUCAACCACUCGUUCUCACUACUUCCCCACUCGAGCUUUAAACUCCGAGUCAAAAGUGGAUUUUUAAAGAUUAGAUUGUUCAGCUGAUUUCCAAGACACUACACCACCACCAAGGGUGAAUCAUAACCGCUAAUAGCUUCGUCUCAUUUGAACUUGAGAGCGAAAUAGCAUCACCGUAUCCUUCUAACUUAACACAAAGCCCCUUAUUAUACCAAGUACGAUAACUAUAUCAUGAAUGUGUGAAAACUGGCUAGUGACUCAUCCCCAAUUAUAUACCAAGUACGAUAACUAUAUGAUUUUGGAGGCAUGAAUACACGCUAUAUGUUCCCCGCUCUAUAGGAUGUGUCAUGACAUAGUUUUCACAUGCCUCCAAUCACAAUCGUAGCUAUAGUUUUAUCUUGAUAAAUGAGGAAUCCCUAAUUAUAUGGCUAAAGCCCAUAUCAUAUGCAAACAUGCAUUAUGUCACAACAAGUCAUAUAAUAUACAUUUACAUCAGAUCACACACACACACACACACACACACACACACUCAUAUAUAUAUAUAUAUAUAUCUAAUUUAAUAUAUACAUAAAUAUUUAAUUAAAUAUAUAUGUUCAUUUCACGUUGUAAAACAAACAAGCCCAAUCAUGCACUUUUCUAAGUUCAUAUACUAUCUUCAAUUUGGCAACAAAUAUUCGGCUUUGUUCUCAUAACAGAUAUGUCCAAUUUAAGCAAGGUCGGUCUCAUUGAAAAGAUAAGACGGCAUAUUAAACAAACCAAUUCAUUCCCAACUUGAUGUAAGGUCAGAAAUUAGUUAAUAUUCAUCACGAACAGUACAACGCGGUACUGUUCCCCUCAUGCACCGCCAGCAAAGAUUUAUAUCUCGUUAACUGUAACUCCAAAUUGAGAACCAUAACUUACUACAGAACGCUAAUAAAAACUAGAUGAAAUAUCACAAAAAUUGAAACAAGCCUACAGAGAUGCCUGUGAAUACGAUUUUGCCCCUGAUAAGUAAAUACCUCAAUUGCUUGACAUUUCCACUUCAAUUAGGUGGGGUAGUAGAGAUUGAGAGAGCCAUGAAAUUUCACUUGCUAAUCUAGCAUGCCACAUAUCAACUGAGUAAAUCAAGUGAUAAUGUUUCUGUAGUUCAUUUGUGUACCUCCUUUAGUGCUGGUUUUCCUGCGCCAAAUCAAUUAUGGAAGUCAUUUCCUUUGACUUCAUUGCGUGUGGCUUCUUGCUGAUGGCGUUUUCAAGAUGAUGUGUUAGCUUCGAAGAUGUUGGUGUCUUUUGAUUACCAAACACUCAAUUUUGAAGAUAUUCAAUAAAGCCUUUGUGUACGGCAUGGUCGGGACGAUAGGCACAGCAGUAGCAACAGAGGACGAUGGCACCACAGCAUGAGUAUUGGGUCAACAGCUCCAGUAGGAAGGGGAAAUCAGUUCCAGCAGCAACAUCUAAAGAGAGCGAAUUUUAUCCUUGAGAUUGUUUUGAAAUUUCAAAGAAGGCGAAUUGGAAAUGUGGAAAUUGAAAAUGUCUGAGGGGUGCAAGCACCAUCCUCAAAGAUAAGUUGUGCCCUUUGCAAAGUGUGUUGUGGCUCUCUUUCAGAAUUCAACAGACCUUCUAUAUAAUGUGCACCUCACUAUUCAGACGGCAUACGAUCAACAUGAAUGGCGAAACAUUUAGGGAGCAAAAGCAAAGGGUAUUCAGGCGAGCAAAUGUUUGGGUGCAUAAAUUUGGGCAAAUCGAAGAAAGAAGUGGUUGGUAUUUAUAGAGGAAAGAAGGUGUACAUGGGUAACGGCAAGUUCGACUAAGGAUAAAUACUGCAACGGCUAGUAAGUAACUCAAGCAACGACUAGCUCAUUCAAUAAGCAACGACCAGUAGAAAGUCAACAAUGGUCAAAAGUCAGUUGCAUGUACAUUUGAUUUUAUUGUAUAUAGACUUUUUGAAAUGCAUAUGCAACAUGACUACAGUUGAGUUAUAAAAAAAAUCGAGAAACAUUAUGUCAUUAUACUAGAGAAUUUCUUUGACAAAAGGAGCAAAUGAUCAUGCCACAAAAAGGGAAAUUUUCCAUCGGCAAUAAGAUGGUUUAUACAUGAAGAUUCCAGCAAUGUUCUUCAAGUCUUGGAUAAAUUGAAAAUGGAAGAAGCAUUAGAUGGAACAGAUGGACUCCAGGAGGAUUUAUCCUUCAAAUUGUCGUAAUUUAGCCAUAAACCCCAAACAGAAACAGCUUGAGUAUAUGACAUAAGCUUUAUUCCAUCAUAUAACCCUUCUAAGACCAAGUAUUCGAUUUGAAAUCCCACAGGAAAAUAGCUCUGUUUGAUUUGGUUAAUCCUAAAACCAGAUAUAGCUUUGAAACUUGCUGAAAGUAGACGGAACUUAUAAAGAAUGUACAUCACCAUUCAGAAACAUCACAAGGUCCUUAGCAAAAAGCAUAAGUGCCUAAAGUGAAUUUCACAACAACAGACUGAAACUUCAAACUCCCUCCAGUAGCAGUUGCUCUAACAACUUUGAUAGGACCCCAAUAGCAAUCCCCGAGAAAAAAGGCGAGAGAAGGUCAUCUUGUCAAAGACUUCUUUUUUCUAUAAUCCAGGAGUACAGGUGUGAAGGCUUGGCUAUCGGAAGGCCUAUGAAAUAUCUUGUAGGCCUAUAAGGGGUUAGGUUAAGGUUUUCGGUUUAUGUAGAUGGAAUAGUUUUGACGCAAUUGGUGGGCUUUGAAUGGAUGAUCUCUAGUUGUUGAGCUAAAAAUCCUUUAAUGCCACAAACAAUUGUGCUAGCUUUUCUUUUUCCAGAAGAAUUAGUGGCUAACUCACUAUUUACACUGACCGAGAAUACACACAUUUUUCUUUUGAAGCUAUGAAUUGAGGGGGAGCUCCAAUGGCAUGAAAAAUUAUUAACAAAAAGCUACCGAUUAUUGAAGGCAUUUGUACCUGACAUGAAAGGACAACUAAUAACCGCAUGCACGUGACGGUGUUGUGGUUUAUUUUCACAUAACUAUAGAGUUCCGGAUAAUCAAUUCAUUACAUCCACUAUUGCCUGUCCAAACACGAUAUUUGAGAGCAUCGCUCGCUUAAGCUCGGAGGUAGUGGUGAAUCUUGGAAAAAUGAUUUUUUGGAAAUAGUCCUCCCGAUCUAUAUAUCUUAGAUCAAAGCGGAAGACACUUUCCAAGUCCACUCCGUUCUCUAUGAUUGUGCCUUUUAAAGCUUUUAUAUUCGUAUCAUGGAACCUGGUUGGUUUAGAAAAUGAAAGAGAAAACAAAAAUGAGAUUUCUGUUGGAAUAUAAUACGCAUAAACGAUAGGAUCUUCCAAUUUACGUCAACGCAAAAUAGGAUACCACAAAUUUACGUAGUUUGGUUUGAGUAUCGGUACCUAUGCCCAUAGAGAGAGCCAGUGGCAAAUAAUCCAUUAUAAUCGGAGAAUCAAAGUUUACAAUUGCUCACAAGUCCAAAUUCAAAAUGGUCAUAAAUAAAUAACUCACUUGGAUAUAAAUUCACUGCACAAAAUUAUCACACGUUCAAGCUCAAAACAAAAUGCUCUACGUACGCUAAAAUCAAAAACUCCAACUUUCAUCUUUGAUCCGUGUACAUAUAGCUUCGCGUGGCUUCAAAAAAUUUGCUGCUCUUCUCAAGCGGCGUGGACGUGCUAUGACAUCCUGAAUUUCUCAACCUGUUUUUUACUGAAUUAAUCGGGCAUUUCGUUGACGCGUUUAUAGGGCUAUUUUCAGAGCCGAUCACUCUUGAGAUAAUUAGAUUGUCUGGGUAAGUAAUUAAGAAAUUUUAGGGCAAUAAACUUGAGAAUUCGAUCAGGAAUCGGCUUCUCGACCGUGCUCAUCUUUAGAGGCAAUUGCAGCACAGUUAAAAACCGAUUUAAGACCAGAGAUAGGCCUGGUCGACUGAGAUGUGUGGCCGAUCGUGGGUGACUCCACUAAAUUGGAAAAUUCUCGUCGACCGACACUAAUAUGAUUUUACUUUCAUUUUGGUACCUUGUGUCUGUAUUUAAAUCCUCGAGAUUUUCACGACAAUCGAGAGUCGCCAUUAAGUUGAAUGGGUUCAUAGUGGUUCGAAGAAAAUCAACUAUGGGUCAUUUGCCUUAAAAAGUUCUGAAAACUACCCGAUAGUCUAGGUCACGCUAAAAACACGCCGAAUGAAAAUUAACCGCCAGUUCGAGUCUGAUUUCAGAAAUUGAAGUUUCGGCCAUGUCACAAUAAAUUCUUGGAGUGUCGACUCAAUCUCAAAAGAUUUUUCUAACAACUGACACUUUUGGGAAAAAGUCGUCGCCAGGUUGUUUUAGUGCAGAAAAUGCCGGAGAUGGUUUUCGGUCGCAAAAUUUAGAUGCAAGAUGGGUUAUUGGAUAAGGAAAAAUAGCAAUUGAGGCAUUGAAGCAUUGAUUGAUUUUAUGAGAGCCGAUUGAUAUCGAAUUGAGGGAGAUUUGAUGAGCAAUUGGAACCUUGCGCUAAGAAAUUCGUAUGCCCCACAAGUGGUGACUUUUGGACCAACUCAACUCUCUAGAAGGGGUAGAUUGGGCUGAAAAUCUGUUGGUGGGUGCUAGCCAUAUGGAGGGAUAAGAACAAAUGAUAUUUGUGUGAAAAUAUCAAGUCUAAGGGGUCCCAUCAGUCAUCUCUAUCCGUUCCUUUUCCUCUCACCCUCAACUGGACAGCUAUCUCUCUCCCUCCCUACUUCGUGCGACGCCAACACCUACAGAAGACAAGAAAUCCAACUCCUUCGAUCAGUCUUUAGCAACCGAAACCCCACGUCGCCUGCUUGUCACUCUGCUCAGUCCAUGUUCCACGAAGCUGCUCCAUCUUCCAUGCCCUACGUUCGCAUAGCCACGACGUCCAGAGAAGCUAGGCGCCCUCUCCACGCGUCCACGGUCUGCAACUCCACAGUCAACAACAGCAGGUUCUCUCCAACUUGUUGACCAUCGAGUGAAGCCAGCCUCGUUCGCUCCAUCAUCUUCGGAACUACCACGAUUUCUUCUUUGCGGCUGCCAAGUCAACUCUCACCAAUUCCUCUCCAGCACUAGCGAAUCAAGUUGCGAAGCCCAUUCGGUUGACCCCAAGUAGCCACGUGGCCAAGGACAACGCUACUCCAUGAUUUCUCUCCUCGCCGCUUCUUGAAGAUCCCAGUGAAGCCGAAGCAACCGUCGACGUUGCUCCUUCCUUUUGCUCGCAUCAGUCCACGCUCGAACAAGCAGCCCACAGAUCAACCGGCUUCCAGUUGCAAUUUGUUUAGCCCAUUUGGGCCGCAAGCUAGCCUAGUCGAAUUUCACCAGUAGCAGCCCAUCAGUAGAAUUUUAUUGAGGUCCAUCUCCUACAGUCUUCAAGCCCAGUCCAGUCCAAGUAAAUUAAUUGGUCAAGCCCAAUUCCAGCAAAUCAAUUGCAGCUCAGCCCAUAGCUUGAAGCCCAUCUUCGCAGUAGGUCCAAUCCAACUUGGGUCUGGCCCAAAAGCAGGAACAAAUCUUAGUUGGGUUGAGAUUUGUUGGGCCAAGUUCAAGGCCUGAUCUAAGCCCGCCGGUAUUGUCGAAAGCCUGAUUUCGGCCGCCGUCACGGUGUCUCGGUUUUCGCGUUUAUCAAGUGAGUUUUACUCACUAAUGCUUUCUUAGUUUGCUAAUUAUACUUAAGGGUUGGUUAGAUUUAAUUAAGUGCAAUUAGGUGGUUAGAUUAGUUUAGAAUAAUUUAAUUAGUGACUUAAACCAGUGCAUGUUAGGUGGUUAGAUUUAGUCAUUAGCAAAUAGAAAGGUGCUGUUAUUUAUGGAACGAGUCUCGGUAAUUUUUUGAGCUUGUCUCGGCGUCCAAUUCAGCAUUACGGGCCUAAAUUGGAUUUUUUUUAUAAUUAAUUAUUUAAUUUUCGAAAUUAAUUAUUUAAUUAUUUAUUUUUUCCGGCAACCGAGAUGACCGGUGGCCGGACUUUCGUGCUGAUUGUCGUGGUGCAGUUCGUUUAUUUAUUUGAGCUUUAUUUGGUGCUAAAGUAAAUUAGGAGGAAUUUAAGAUUUAUUCCUAAAUUGAAUCUAGAAAGGGUCGGGUGAGACAGUAAAGCCAUUAGAUCUUGAGAGGGUCGGGUGAGACCGUAAAGCCACUAAAUCUAAGGAAUUGCUUGGUGUGGGAUGAAUGACCUAGAAAUGGUCCGACUGGCAUGAAAUCGACUAGGUCGAUUUGAUCGAUGCUUCGAUCGGUGAUGUGAUUGUUUGAGUACUUAUUGAACUGUACUAAUAUGCAGAUGGAAUCUAAGGUCAAGGUAAGUCCUCUGACUCGUGCUGUGCUUAAGCAACCGAGUAGUGUAUUGAUUUACUAAUCAAGUCUUAGGGAGUAGAACUCGCUGAAACGUGGUCUCAUUGGUUAUUGAAUAACAAUUUCAGGACCUUGAGGAGAAGCUGAGGAGGAGUAACCUGAAGGGGAGAAGGACUUUUGAAGAAGAAGAUGAUCCAAAGAGGGAUCUUGAGUAUAACCCGGAUGUGGAUUAAGAUUCCAUCCCUUUUGUAAACCCUGUCUUAGUGUAGAUAGGUGUGAGACAAGUGCGUUGUGCAUAGUAUUGUAAAUAUACUAGGAGUUGCGUUAUUAAUCAAAGUGUGGUUGUGAAUUUCAAUAUUAAAAAAUAUGACAUGCUUUCUAUCCCAUUGUUUUAUUAUCUGGGGAUUUAUAACUGCUUCUGCAUGUGCUUAAUAAACGAAAGGGCCGGCGAUAUUUAGUCCUGGGAUAUCGCACACUUUAAAAUCGACCAACAGAAGGAUGGGCGUGUCCCGAGGAUCAGGGCGUGACACGUGCAGCUCCUUCUGCCUUUUAGGGCUUCACGUCACUUUUUCCAACCAAAAACGUAACGCCCUUUUAUAUGUGCGCGUGCGCCCAAGGUCAAUAAUUUGACCUGGGCCACCACUUUUGAUACUUCAACGUAACAAGGUUAUGCACGAUGAAAAAAAAAACCUUUGUUAUAUUUUUAUUUUUAUUUCCUUUUUUUUGCAGCUCUAAGGAAUCCAAAGAAAGAAGGGUUUUUUAUUUUUAUUUUUUUUAUCCAAUUUGAAAUCUCCUUGAAAAAUCUUUAUCAAUAAAUUCGAUUUAAUAAAUCAUUAUUCAAAUUCAAACUUGAGAUAUAAAUUAACAAUUUUGGUGACGACUAAAAUUUUCAUUUUGUAUAGUCACUACUUUAUUUAUUUGCCAUGAUUUUUUGUGAAUUUAUCAAUGAGUUGAUCGCAAAACUAAGGCUUACAUGCCCUUGAACUAUGCGUAACGUGCUGCUCGUAUUGCGUUGUGGAUAUUCCUUUUUAGGUCGGUUUGCAAGCUGUGGAAACCAUUUUGCUCCUGCAAAAUAUGACAAAAAAUGUUAACAAACUCAUUUAUAUCGAUAGCUAUAUGGUGCGAACAUAAGAUCUUUCACUGUGACUAUGCCUCUGACUUUUUAAGCUGCGUCGCAUUAGAAAGAUAAAAUUACUAUUAUUAUUAUUUUCUUUUUGGCCGACACAUGUUCAUAAUCCACACGUGAUCCAACGACAGCGUGAAAUAUGGUGAGAGAAACAAACUUUGUAGAUAAAAGCAACAUCUUCACGUCUGUGAAGGUUUUUGCGUCAAACACUAGGCGGACCAUUAAAUGUUGCAAAAAGUGUAUGUACGUACAAUGUAUCGGCAAUGCUAUUUAGUCAUAAAGCUCGAAAUUUGUCUACAUAAUUUUUUUUAAUCAUGGAUAGACCUAGUUAAUAAACUAGGGCCGACCUAAUGAGUAAUACGAUUUUAUGACCGAUAGAUGACUACGUCAAAAAGUCACUCUGAUCGAAUAAUUAUUUGACUGAAACAUAAAUCGAUUAUUUGAGAACCGCAGUCCGACAACGUUUCCUCAAGGAAAAGAGCAGUUAGACAAUAGCACAGUGCAGUUGUGCACCUACUUUUUGCUAUUUAAAAUCCCACAAACCUUCUGACCAAAAGAAAAGAAAAAUCCCAUCAACCCUGACACAGGUCCACAUAAUAGAUACCAAACUAACAGCUAAUGCAAUUAAUUGAAAAGCCAACUACCUCAUUGAAUAAAUGGGGACGAUAGGAACAAACUAAUUGAUAAUGACAUUAAUAAUAUGGAGUUCCAUCAUCUUAAUUGCAUUGGUCAUUUACCCAAAAGGAGGAAAAACUAUCAUCAAUGCCCAAGCCUAAAAAACUAAGCAUGGAUUACCCUAUUCCUACAAAAUGUUGAAAAUGAGGAAGAUUGCGUUGAAGGGAUAAGGACUUUUAAAAUCAUUUGUCAAUAUGUGCAAAUGCAAUUGCAUUUCUCUACCUUUUUAUUGGUCAAGAAACAUAAAAGGGCACCAAUGGAAUGCAAUCCCCAGUUGUGCAAGAUGAAAUUAAAGAAAGUUGGGUCAAGGGAGAUAGCUGAACUGAAAAAUUCCAGAUUGAAAAGCUCUAAAGGUAUUUGCUAAUCAAUUGGCGCCAAUUACUUCUUUUAACAAUAAAAGUGUAAUACCUCUAGUCUCAAAUAAGAUGAAAGAUGGCUCGUGAUGUUAUUGCCACUUCAAAUGGUUUCCAUCCCUUUGACUAAAAGAAAAAAAAGAUGGUUUCUAUCUCUAGUGGUCACGUUCGGAUACUUCUUUUGAUGGGUUACGUUAUUUUGUCGAACAAUAUUAGGAUACAACGUUUUUUCAGCAUAUAUUUGAUUCGAUCUAUUCAAUGUGGGGUUCUAGGAAGGAUUGAAUAGCAGCUGUGCAUAAAUGUUUUGACAGCGACAGACGUGCGGACCCCUGGAGUGCCAUAACUUAUGAAAGGUACACUUAAGUGUCAAAAUCGGAGUAAAAUGGAUUACUUGAGUGCCAAUUCGGCCAAAGUCCGGUCAAAAGGCUGAUGUGGCAUUUUUCCGGUGAAGCGAGCCUAAAACGAUGCCGUUUUGCAUGCUGACGUGGCCAAAUAAUGCAAAAACGGCGUCGUUUUGAGCUGACAUGGUAAAAAAAAUAUAAAAAUUAAAUUUAGUUAAAAUAUUAAAAAAUAAUAAUUUUAAAAUUAAAUUUAGUUAAAAUAUUAAAAAAUAAUAAUUAUAAAAUUUAAAAAGGGGGAGGUGGUUGAGGGCCGCCGCUUCCCCGUCAUUGCCGGGAAGGGCCAGUGACGGAGGGGGGAGGGUCGGUUGCGGUCACCGGCGGACCGGCGACGAGGGUCGGUGGCCCUUGCCUGGCUGAGCCAAGGGCCGCCACUCGUCGAGGCAACCCCCAGCGGGCGGCGGCCCUUGGCUUAGUCGGGCGAGGGCUGCUGACGCUCGCCGGAUCUGGGUGAGGGCCACAACCCCUCGCCACUCGCUAGAUCUGGGUGAGGGCUGCAACCCUCGCCUCGAUCUGGGGCGAGAGCUCGCGAGCCCUCGCCGCCGGUCGGCCGGGGUCGUUGGCCCUUGGCCAAGGGCCGGUGACCCCGGCCAACCCUCCCCCCUCCGUCGCUAGCCCUUCCUGGCGACGGCGAGGAGGCAGCGGCGGUAGCUGAGGGCCACCACCCCCCUUUUUUAAUUUUUUUUAAAUUUUAAAUUAUGAUUUUUUAAUAUUUUAACUAAAUUUAAUUUUAAAAUUAUUUUUUUUAAUAGUUUAGUUUAAUUUAAUUUAAUUAAUUUUUAUAUUAUUUUUUUACCACGUCAGCCCAAAACGACACCGUUUUUGGAUUAUUUGGCUACGUCAGCGUGCAAAACGGUGUCGUUUUGGGCUCACUUCGCCGGAAAAAUGCCACGUCAACCUUUUGGCCAGACUUUGGCUGGAGUGGCACUUAAGUGAUUCGUUUUUCUUCGAAUGUGGCACUUAAGUGUACCUUUCGUAAGUUAUGGCACUUAAGUGUCCCUUUGUGCAAAGUUAUGGCACUUGAAGCGUUCUUUUACCGACAGCGACAUUACAUGUGGUGUUCAGUUGGGUCCAUAUACUAGAUAUCAAAUUAACAAUCAAUACAAUCGCUUGAAAUAGCUAACUACUCACUGAUUAAAAUGAGGGAGACAUUGGCCAAAAUAAAUAAAGAAGAAGAAACACAACCGGGGGGGGGGGGGGGGUUCUUUUUUGGGAUCUCUCACUCUCUCUCUCUCUCUCUCUCUAAAAAUAGGCACACAAGAAUCCAAAGUGAGAAAAGUGGUCUGGAGCUUCUUCUUCGGGGGCGGUUUGGCCCUUUAACCGGGGAGGGACGUCUUCUCUUUGCAAUGGUAAUGUUGACGUACCAAAAAGUCAUUCUGAUCAAAGAGAUAAUACUAUAUUAAUUUCAACCGGUGAAAAACGACAUUGGUAGGCAUGAUAAAAAUGCAGCUAUAUAUGGAGCCUUUGUGCCUCAGUACUUAAGUCGCUCUUCAAGUUCCCCCUAGCUCUUGUUCAAAGACUCUCUGGUCCAUUUCGGUUCAAAUAUGGGGAUGGAUAUUGUCCAAUUUCUUGAAAACAAGACCAUCUUAGUCACGGGAACCACUGGCUUUCUCGCAAAGAGUACUCUCUCUUUCUCUCUUUCUCUCUCUCUCUCUUUUCAUGUAUGAAGUAUACUUAGUCGCCAAUUGCCAUCGAUUGACCAUCUUUUUGCUAACUAUUAUUUAUUAUGACGGGUUAGUUUUUGUGGAGAAGAUCCUUCGGAUUCAACCAAAUGUCAAGAAAAUAUACGUUCUUAUCAGAGCUAUGGACAAACAAGCAGCGAUACAGAGGUUGCAUGAAGAGGUAGAGAAUCAAACUCUAAAUUAUCCUUGGAUGGUUAGAUCCACUUUUUGUUCUAAAUUGACUAGAAAGAAAAGGCACACAUAGAUGUGUGUUGAAAAAAUAAUAAAAAUAAUAAUUAUUAAGGCUCCGUUUGUUUCUCGAAAAAUGAAUGAUUUGGAAAAUAUUUUCCUGCAAAUAAUUGCUUGUGUCGCUUAUGAGAAUGAAUAAAUUAAAUAUAUUUUCAUUUUCUAUGAAAAUAGAAGACAUAAAUUGUUAUUGAAGAUGAAAACUUUUUUUUUAUUGACUAAUUUUUUUUUAAGCUAUAUAUAAAUGAUCAUUUUUUUGGAUAGGUAUAUUCCAAAUUAUUCGUUCUUCGCUAAAUAAAUAGAAUCUACGGGAAGAAAAUUAAGAGAUUUGUGUUUUUUCAGGAAAAGAACUUGAGUCGUUACAAGAGUAGCCGUACAAUGGUCUAUCCAAUAGAUGGUACAAUCACUUAGGCGUGUAAUUUCGAAUUAAUUCUACUCUAUUUAACAUGGAAAAUAAAGGCAAAGGAAGAAAAAGAAUAUGAAAACUAAGAUAAAAGACAAAAUUUCCUUCAUGACAACUCUCAAUCUUUUCACGUCGCAAACAGCUCAUAGAGAAGAAGUUAUUUGACAAUUUGAGGGAAGAGUGGGCAGAGAAUUUCAACUCAAUUGUGGAGAAAUUGUCUCCGAUUCCUGGUGACGUUUCUUGCGAGAAUUUGGGAGUACAUGAUUUUGAUUUGAGGUUCGGCCGCGACUACCAAAUUCGACGAAAGGUACGUGAUUACAAUCUUGCCCUCCCCGCCCAAUUUAAAAUUAGUUAAGAGAAUUCGUGGCUUUUCCCUCAUCCUAUUUUGAGUUUAUUGCCAUCUUUCUCCCGCAGAUAUGACAUUGCGCUAGCCGUCAAUGUAUUUGGAGCUAAGCAUGUUGCUGAAUUUGCUGUAAGAUGUGUUAACAUAAAGAUGCUACUUCACAUAUCAACUGGUUUGUGUUUUUUCGAUUGUGGUUGCUCUUGAUAUUUUUGCUAUGUAAAUUAGCAGAUGAUAGGUUCUAUUUCACCACCUGCUUAUUUAAAAAGUAGUUUGCAUUGACAUUGUAUCUUAUGGAACCUUUUAUUUUCAGCAUAUGUAUGGGGCAAUAUGACUGGAAUUAUACGAGAAAAGACAUUUAGUAUGGAUGAGACGCUCAAUGGGUCAAGGAAGUUGGAUGUGAAUGAAGAGAAACUCUUGGUUGAAGAAUUGAUGAAUGAACUUCGAGAAAAGAACGCUUCAAAAAGAGAAAGCACCAUUGCUUUAAAGAUUUUGGGCUUGCAAAGGUUUGCUUUUUAUUGAUUGAAUCUUAAACAGUGAAAUUAAUAAUUAGUUGAAAUUUCAUCUUUAAUUGUGUCUCUCAAACCUACGCACCAAGUUAGACCACUACCUCAAGCUCAGAUUACUCAAUCAUCAUUUGUAAAGUUGAUGGUAUCAUAUGGCAAAAUUACCAAUUUUUUUUCAAAUUUAUUGCAAUCGUGUCAAUUUAGCUUUAAAUCAUUUUUUUUUUUUGGGCUAAUUGAGUUAAAAACCUUUUAUAUUUGUGUCAAUUUAGUCAAUUAGAUCAAUUUUGGUUGAAAAUCGCUAACAUGGAUACUACCCUCCUAUAUGGUUUAGCCAGCACUGAUGCAUACACUUUUUAAUAUUUUGAUUUAUUUUUGCUUUGAUUUAUUUUUUCUUUUCUUCCCUUCUAUCUCUAGUUGGUUGUCCUUGCCAAGGGCAACUAGCCACAAGAAGAAGGAAGGACCCCCCCCCCCCCCCCAAAAAAAAAGAGAGAAAGAAAAGAAAAAAAAGAAAAAAAAUAAUUUUUUAAAAAAUAUUAUUAAAAAUGUAAAUAAUGGAAUUGAUGAUUAAGUUAGUUAAAAAUUACAUCUUUAAUUGUGACUCUCAAAGCCAAGCAUCAAGUUGGACUGUUACCUCAAGAUCGGCUUACUCAAUCAUCAUAUCUAAAGUUUUUUUUUUUUUUUGGUUGAAAUUAUAUCAAAAGUUGAUUGUAUAAUAUUGAUAUUCUUUUCAUGAAAAUUUGGGUCGUAAAAAAUGUUUUUGGUUGGACUUGAAGUUUUGGUGGUAAACUCUUUACAAGGUGCUUGACCAUAAUAUUCAGAACUAAAACAAGAGUUAGGUAGUUAAAAUAUGUCUGAUCAGUCAAUUCAUUUGUAUAUGGUUGUACUAUUAUAUUAUAAUCUUCAGCAGUUCUUAUGAUAUUCAUUAUAAUUGAUGUGCAGGGCAAGGCUACAUGGUUGGCCAAACACAUACACUUUAACGAAGGCAAUGGGGGAAAUGAUGGUGCAGCACCAUCUGAAACAAAAUAUACAACUUGCUGUUAUGAGACCCACAAUUAUAACAAGUACUUAUCGAGAACCUUUUGCUGGUUGGAUUGAGGGUUUCCCUCCCAGGUUAUCCUUCACAAAUCUCUCUCUCUCUCUCUCUCUCUCUCUCUCUACGUGGUUUGACAUUGAACUCCUAAUUUUACCAAUAAUUUCCAAAUCUUACAUAAUCACUCAUUUUAAAUUUCUAGCGUCACCUAUGACAUUAUUUUUUGGGAGUAAUAUCAUAUGUGGUCCCUGAAUUGUUAUUUGGUGUUCAAUGCACCUCAGUUUUUGAAUUGAAUUAAAAAAAGUGGAAGAACUCUAUUGAACUCCGAACCAAAGUGAAGGGACUACUCAAGUAUUAUUACCUCCUGGUUCUUCGCAAAAUGCAAGUUGUUACUGAACAAGAAAAUCAAGAAACAUAUCUACAUCUGUUUUUUAGUCUAGUUGCUAAAUAGCAAUACAAGAUCAUAAAGAAAUCAGAUAGACUUGCGCGGGCGGGUCUACUAAUGAACACACCAUCUUUUCGAGGAAGUUAAACCUUUAGAGGAGGGUAAACAAUGAAUAAAUGAUGUUUGCGAUCCUUGAUUUUCAUAAAGGGACAUAAAAAAUUCAAACUCCACAGGGAGGUUGACAGGAGAGUUUGAAAAGAAAUUUUUUGAAUAGGUAAAAGAUCAACGUCUCAUAGACAGUUAUAUUCAUCAAAUGAAUAGAGCAAGUUAUAGGUAAAUGAACACAGGCAUGGGCAUAUCUUUUACUGGUUAAAAAUGUUGGUUUUAAUUGAUUGAUUAUGUAGUGAGACCUUAGUCCUUGACAUGUAAUGGCGAUAAGUAUCUUGUUAACUGAGUAUUUUGUUGUUUAACAUGCUAGUAUUGUAUAAUUAACUUUUUUUUUCUUUCUUUGAAAACAUACAUGGCACAGAACUAUGGACAGUAUCGCCAUACUCUAUGGUAGAGGAAGACUGAAAUAUUUCUUGGGCAAUCCUAACACGAUACUCGACAUGGUAACAUCUGAUCAUCUCGACAAGCGUUAACCACCAUCCAAAUGCCAUGAUUAUAAGCAUCCUAAAUUUUGCAUUUGCUUAAUUGAUUAUGUACUCCUUUGUGAAUUGGCCUGUGAUAAUUGAUUUGGCAAAAUAUUUAUAAUUAUAGAUUCCAACCAUCACUUUAUUGUGCACAUUUGAAAGCACUUAAAGACAUACAUUUAUUCAUAUACAUGUGCAUUCGAUGCCUUUAAACCUAAAUAUGAAAUUUCAUCUUGAGUAGAUACCAGCAGAUAUGGUGGUAAAUGCUAUGAUUGUGGCCAUGGCGGUGCAUGCUAAUCAGCCCAAUUCAAACAAGAUUUACCAAGUGGGUUCCUCAAAGAAACAUCCUAUGUCCUAUUCAGAUCUUCGACGCAUCAUUGUGAGUUACUUCAAGGACAGUCCUUGGAUCAACGAGGAUGGGAAGCCGGUCAAAGUUCGUCAGCUUAGAACUAUGGGAAGCACGGCCAGCUUUCACAAGCACAUGAGACGUUACAUUCUCUUGUCAAAGGUAAGUUCAAAAUAACUUAAAAAGUGAAGAUCAAAUGGUCACUAAAAGUUGUCACGGACCCCUUAUUGGUUCCACAAGUGUUUGUAUCCUUCUUCACAGACCUUCUUUCACCUCAUGGGGUGCUGUCUAAGCCUUCACUUCAAGAGGUUUCUAUGUUUAUUCGGAGGCCUCUUUCGGAUGCUCAGGUGUGCUCUCUUUCUGCCCCAGUUUCUGAUGAUGAGAUAAAGAACACUCUUUUCUCCCUUCCCAAAGGCAAAGCCCCGGGUCCGGAUGGUUAUAUAGCUGAGUUCUUUAAGAACAACUGGGAUAUUGUGGGGUCUUCAGUUUUGGAAGCGAUCAAAGACUUCUUCUCUUCUGGUUAUCUUCUCAAAGAGGUAAAUAACACUAUCUUGGCUAUAGUGCCAAAAAUCCCCAACGCUUGUGCUGUUACUGACUUCAGGCCCAUUGCGUGUUGCAACACGAUUUAUAAGGUUAUUACGAAAAUCCUUGCUAAUCGCCUAGCUACUGUUUUGAAUGACCUCAUAAGCCCGUCGCAGAAUGCAUUUGUGAAGGGUAGAAGAAUCAGAGAUAACAUUCUCUUGGCUCAAGAGUUGUUUGCAGGUUUCCAUUUAGAACCUUAUCUCCCAAAAUGUGCCAUUAAGGUUGAUUUCCAAAAGGCGUACGACACGGUUGACUAGGACUUCUUGGAGCUCACUCUCUCGGCUUUUCGCUUUCCAGAUUGGAUUAUUCGUCUGAUCAUGGUCUGUGUUCGCACUCCUAAGUACUCCAUCUCUAUUAAUGGUGAAUUGCAUGGGUUUUUCCAAGGCGGCCGUGGCAUCCGCCAAGGAGAUCCUAUGUCUCCUUACUUGUUUACUUUAGUUAUGGAGGUAUUUUCGGGAAUUUUGAACUCGCAAACAGCUGCCAAAGAUUAUAAGUAUUUUUGGAGGUGUAAAGCUGUGAAGCUGUCUCACUUGUUUUUUGCAGAUGAUGUGUUCCUUUUUUGUCAGGCAGACUGACCUUCUGUGGUAAUGCUUAAAAGGGGUUUGGAUACUUUCUCCUCCUGGAGCGGGCUUCUUCCGAACAAGAACAAGAGCGAGAUCUUUCUCUCGGGCGGGCCUUUAUCCCUGCGAAACACAAUUUUGUUGACAUUUGGCUUUCAAGAAGGGAAACUCCCGGUCCGCUAUCUGGGUGUACCUAUAAUUUCUUCUAGACUGCGCAAAGCAGACUGCAUCGUCUUGAUAGAUCGCAUAACUGCUAGGGUCCAAUCUUGGGCUCAACGUUUUCUAUCCUUUGCAGGUAGGCUUUAGCUCAUAAGGUUAGUUCUACACUCCAUACAAGCCUUUUGGGCUAGUGUCUUCUCCUUGCCUUCCUCGGUUCUAAUGACCAUUGAGCGCAUCUUGAGACAAUUCCUAUGGAAGGGCACUACCCUGGGCCGGGGGGGUGCUAAGGUAUCUUGGGAUGACGUUUGUCUUCCCAAAGAAGAAGGUGGUUUAGCCAUUCGAAAACUGAAGGAUUGCAACAAAGCUUCAAUGCUUAAGUAUAUUUGGAUACUCUUUACCGAUAAAGAAUCCUUGUGAUGCCGGUGGGUGCAUUCAAAUUUCUUAAAGAAAGUGAAUUUUUGGAUUUCUUCCUGCCCCUCUCUUUGUUCUUGGGCGUGGAAGAAAAUACUACAACUCAGAAGGUUUUUUCAGCUCUCCUUCUUUUGGAAAAUCGGUAAUGGGCUUUCGGUUUCUCUUUGGCAUGACCAUUGGCUUCCUUGUGGCCCCUUGGACACUUUUAUUCCGACCUCUAUUAUGGACAGUAUAAAUCUCCCUAACAAUGCGGAUGUGGCGGACUUGUUUUCUCUUGCAGGAUACACGCUAAAAUCUCUUCUCCAUAGUUGGGGCAUUGUCCUCCCAAAUUUAUCCUUGGCUCCUUAUCAAUUCUCUUGGCGGUGUGAUCCAACUGGUUUGUUCUCGGUUUCUUCUGCUUGGAGCACCAUUAGAGCGAAAAGAGACUGUGUUCCAUGGGCUUCUCUAGUCUGGGAUAGUGCCAUAGCUCCUCAGUACCAGUUCCUUCUUUGGCUUAUUACUAAAAAUCGCCUUCCCACUCAAAUGCUCCUUCUCUCUUAUGGUAGAAUUGAUUACACGGUAUGUGCUUUUUGCAAUGCCCAACCAGAUUCAAUUGACCACCUUUUCUUUGAAUGUCACAACUCCGCUACGCUUGCAUACUUCUGGGCUUCUAGGUGUAACCUUCCUUGGAGGAGUAGAACUUGGAUGGAUACCAUCUCUUGGGCGCUUAAGUUCUUAGCCGGAAAGGACUUUUAUCACAGUAUUGCACGGUUCUCUUUUGCAGCUAUGUGCUAUAUGAUCUGGAAAAAGAGGAAUUGCAUCAUUUUCCACGGAGAAUCCUUCGCUAUCUCGGAUUUAAAGAAUCACCUUAUUAAGGCGGUCAAGGACCGAGCUCUUACCUUCAGAAAUGUUCCUACGUCUCCAAAGAACAAGAGACUCCAGAAAGGUUGGGGUUUUGACCCUUCGGUUUUUGCUCAGUCGCCUGGUUCGUCCUAAGCGUCUAGUCUGUGCCUUGUUUUGCUUUCUAGCCUUCUCUUAGGCUCUCUGUUCUUCGACCCUUUCCCUUUUGUAUUUCUGAGGGUUGCUGGGUUUGUUGCUUGGCGCUUGGCCUUUGGUUUGGGCUGUUUAGCUUUGGUUCUCUUGCUUUGUGCCUGUUUGGCUUGUUACUUGGCUCCCUUUCACUCUUUCUGCUGUUGCAGUUAGAGUGGAAGUUUUUGGUGCCAAUUUUGUAUAAUGUUCCAAAGCUCUAUUAUAAUUUCUUACCUUUUACCAAAAAAAAAAAAUGGUCACUAAAAGUUAAUUCAAUAAGUUGAAAUAUGGAGAAAAUUGAAGAUUCCAAAUAUCUGAAAAUCUUUAUGUUAUAUGAAUUUUAGGUAGUCAAGUCAACAUAUUUCUUUCUUUAUCGAUAUAAGUGAUAAUAAUCUAGAAAUUUAUAAACAUAUCUUCAAAUAAUUAGCUAAUUUGUUGGAAGUGACAGUUUCUUUUAAUAUGUUUCAACAUUUACCACUCUGAUUUUUUGACUUCCGUUAAACGGGAAAUGGCUGAAACCUUUAGAAAUACGUAAAUAUAAACACAUAAAACUUGAACUAUUAUGAAAAAUUUAAAGUUUGAAAAAUACUUUACAUUCCAGCAAUAAUGCAUAAGUUUUUGCUUUAUAAAUUCAAAGCAUUGGAGCCCUAACAUAAGACAAAAAUAAAAGAAAAAAGAGCUACUGAUGAAAGCCGAAAAUUCAUAGUCAAAAGUCACAGCCACGAAAAAAGAUGGAAACAUGUGCUUUGUUUAAACCCUAGGCUCUUGUGUUACAUAAGAAUCUAAUGGGCACUUUAUUGAAUUAAUUGACAUGCAUAUUCCAUGAUAUGAAGAAAAUGGGAAAAGCAUCCUUAAUUUUUGUUUGACACAUGAAAUUUGAGGAUGUGUUAUCUUUAAAAAUAAUUAUUCCAUGAAUAAUGUUUUUGUUAUCAACGGCAAUUUAUAUCCAAAUAUUUUCAUGGAUAAUGAAAACAUUUUUUAUUCAUUUAUUUUUGUAAACGAUAUCAAUUAUUAUUUUAGAUUUGUUUUUAUAUUAUUUAUUUUUUCGCAAAACAAUCUGAGCUAGUUCUGUAUUAUUCUGAAUGAAGGCGUUGAAAGUUGCUAGCUCAGCGUUUGGCGGGUGUUUCCAAGGCUUGCAUGCUGACUUGGACAAAAAGGUCAACACUGCCCUGCGAUUGGCUGACCUCUACGAACCUUAUAUAUUCUUCAAUGGGGUGUAAGCUUCUAAGCUUCUAUGCAUUGGCCAAUAUGCGUGCAGAGUGCAUUAAUUAAUCACCUCCUUCCCCUUAUAUACAAAUCUCUGUUCAAUUAUUUAACUAUUAAAUCACUUUUUAAAUUAUAACUUUUGAAACAACCAAUUGUGAUCUUACAAAUUUAAUAUAGAAGUCUUGGGUUUAUACUUUUAUAAGCCUAAAUUUGCCUAUCCUAUUAUAUAUUUCCAUGCCUUAAAGCUUACACGUGAGGAAAGAGUAUCAUAAUGAUUAAAUAUUACCGUGAAGUCACCUCCUAGCUUAAAAUUUUAAAAUAGUCGAUAGUUAUCUACAAAAUUAUAUAAUCUCUGAUUCUUUUUUUUUUUAUUGACUUAGCUUUGACGAUACAAAUAUGAUGGCUUUGAGAGCCACGGCCUUUGACAAUGGAGUAAACCUGGAAAGUGUCUUCUGCUUUGAUCCGGGGUGUAUCAAUUGGGAUGACUAUUUCAAGAAAACUCAUUUGCCCACAGUUGUCAAAACCUUCAAGCGCAAGUGAGAAAUGAUGCAAUUAAUAAAUAGUUUGGGACAUGCAAUAGUUGGCAUUAUGAACUCCACCUGUUUUGACCCAAAAAAUAAAAUAAAAUAGAGAGAGAGAACUCCACAUGUUCUAUUGUAUCGUAUGUGGAAAUAAAUAAGGUGUUGUAACACAAACAUCUGUUGCUAUUUUCGGUGUCAUGUUAGUUUGAAGUGGCAAUUAUAUUAGAAUAAUACAUGUACGAUCUGUAUUCUACCUCAUUUGUAACACCUCAAAUAUUGCAAAUUGGAGGUUGCUAGAUAAAUAGCAAUCCGGUUACUAGAAUCUUCCCAAAUUCUUGGUUCAUGUGACACAUAGUAUUUGAUAUGAUAAUGUCUCGACCUUCCCAAAGGUGAAUCACCAAAGAGAAAGCUAAUAGACUACUAAACAGGAGUGAAGAUUCCUCUCAUGAGGUAAUCAUUCACGUAUAGCACACUCUUUCAGGCCCUACCAAUUACAACUUGGUGUUUAAUUUAACAUGCAAUUUUCUUACCUUUUGGAGCCAUUGCUAAUCAAUUAGAUUAGACACUCAAAUAAAAUGUGAAAGUACAUUUACUUCUACGAACAAGAGAUUCAAUGGAUUUGGGGACUUGAUUAUGCUUGAUUAAUAUAAUGCCAUUUCAAUACCAGUUUUCUUUAUUUUCAAAUGAAUAUUUUGCAAGCAGUCUUAAUUGAUUUUAAGUAAAGCCACUAACACGCAAGAAGUGAUCAUGUGUGUUGACACCUAAAUUUUGUUUAACCAUUCAUAAUUAAUUGUAUACAAAAUUAAGGGCUAACCUUUAGUCCCUAAACAACAAUAUUAAAAUUAAAUUGCAUAUCAUUAAGUUUUAAAGAGCAUAUGUUAAUUGCAUUUAAAUGGGACCAUCGGUGAUGAAUGGGCCUGAAUUAGUCACGUGGUAGGGGCCCACAAUAAGUGAAAUUCGGCCUAGGCUAGGAGUGUUAGUGGCCGAAAUUAUAGGAGGAAAAGGAAGGGUCUUGAGCUUUAAUUGAACUGGUUUAGCCCAUUAAAAUUAAAAGGCUUUGAGCUUAAUUAGAUAAAGGCCCUGGGGAUGAAGCGUAAUCCAAUCAAAUAUUUGAGUGGUAAUGCAUGUUUCUUAAGAUACCAAAAAUACCCGUUAAAUUAGGAAAUUUUCAUCAUUUAACAAUGUGCAUAUGGAUCGCAAUUUGAUCUCAACCACUGAGAUGAUCCCAUUUGCAUGGAAAAUCUUCUAUUAUAUCCAUUACCACUUGGAUACGAUCGUUCAUUUUAUUCAUUACCAAAUUUGAAUAGAGUGGAUGUGUUUUGGAUGAUUUGGUGAGUUUUUCUUGCUCUCUCUCUCUCUCUGUUUUUUUUUUUUUUUUGUUGAUUUGAGUUAAUUUCUUUUCGCCCCCAAUCUCGUGUCCCCCUCUGCUUCCCUCCUUUUCUGGCCAUUAGGCUGCAUGCCUACAGGCACUUGUUGUCACGCAGACACGCCCAAACAUUUUAGUUAGCAUCUUGUCUGCGUGUAUUUAAUGAUGUGUCUAUAACAGUUCUAGCAUGGACAAAAACUCGAUAGAAGAACUUAGGGAGGCUUCAGCUACUGAAGCUGAGGCGGCUAACGCUGUCUGGCAAGCUGUUCAAUCGGCAUCUUCUGUCCCUGCAGAAGAAACAUCAGUAUCAGAUGAAAACUCUCCAGCAACUGAAACUGCUUCAGAUGGUAGUGACACUGAGGGAGACGUUUGUCAUGGUCUGUGAAAUUAUGUCACGGUCUCACAUCAAAGGGUGUUUUAGUCUCUGUUCUUUGUGCUUACAUUGUUGUCCUAUAGGUGGUCGUUGCUAAGGAGGCCGUAGGUAACCUUGGUGGAAUGGUAAGACAGCUAUCACUGGAUCCAUUUGAAAAUGAGAGCAGACUGAUGGUUCUGAUGAAUAAUGAGCUGUCAUAUCCUACAAAAAAGUUCACCAGACAUAAAUCUCCUCAAGGCUUGCAUAAGAAGGUGAGUGUUAAAGAAGUCUAUACCAUCAUCCUCAUUCGAACUUUUGCCAGGCUUAAUUACCUCUUUUCUUUUCAGAUUAUAUCCACUUUGCUUCAGCCUGGAAAUUGGAAAGCUCCGGCUAAUAGGAGGUUUUUCCUGGAUUCUUACAAAGUUGGGGAGCUCUGUUAUGCUGCAGAACAGCUUUUCAUGCAUGAGCCAACAGUUCUUCAGUUAAAAGCUCCAGUUAAAGAAUUCGGUGACCUACAUGGUCAAUUUGGCGAUCUCAUGCGUUUGUUCGAUGAAUAUGGUUUUCCUUCCACUACAGGAGAUAUAACUUAUGUUUGAUAUGGUUUUAAUCAUUUCUUCUAAGUUCUAUACUUGUAGUAAAUGUCCUAUGCAUGCUGGUCUUUGCUGAGAAACAGCAUGACACAGGAGAGAAAAUCCAAGUGCCUAAGUUUAAAAACAGUACCGGAUUGAUAACUGCAAUAUGCACUGGAGCUGAUGGUGGCUGCAUCAUAGUCAUAAUAUACUUUGCUCGAAGUUUCACAACGUUAAGGUGAUUAUGUAUAAGUUUUGUUAAGAAAUUCUAUCAAAAGUUUAAACCGUAGACUACUGUUAUGAUUUCGGUUUAUUCAAAGGAAGGCUUGGAAAUCUCGAACCUGGCAUUCCCUACUAUUGUGAGGUGCACUUUAAGGUGGUGACUUUUGUUCAUGUUGCUUAAAGGGCCACACAUUUUCUGAAUCUCCGAUAAUGGUAAAAUUUAGUGAAUUGAUUCUUCUGGGAGGAAGUUUUCCCAAUAUUGUAUUUUUUUUUUUGGGGGGGGGGGGGGGGGGUAUGUGAAAAUGAAACUUAAAUGUCUAUGCAUUGACACAGCUAUAUUGAGUAUUUGUUUUUGGGAGAUUACAUUGAUCGGGGGCAGCACAGUUUGGAGACUAUAACUUUGCUUCUUGCUCUAAGGCACGUUUCUACUAUGAAAGAGAUGAUUAUAUAUGCAAAUGCAAUGCGAUGUUUAUGUUGUUUUACCAACUGGGCUGUGGUUACCUUUUUGUAGAUUGAAUACCCAGAAAAUGUUCACUUGAUACAAGGAAACCACGAGGCAGCUGACAUAAAUGCACUCUUCGGUUUUCGUCUUGAAUGCAUUGAGCGAAUGGUGAGUGCAGAUGUUCAGUUAUUUGUUCUCUUUUCCAAGGCAUGUUAUCUCAAUUUGCCUUUGGAUAGGGAGAGAAUGAUGGGAUAUGAGCAUGGACACGUUUUGAUCAACUUUUCAACUAUCUUCCGCUUGCUGCUCUCAUAGAGAAAAAGACAGGGAAAAUGUUACAAAUGGUCCAUGAACUUUCAUCUAAUAUUCAAUUUCAUUUCUGAGCUUUUGAUUUGCUCAAUUUGAUCACUUUCAUCUAAUGUUCAAUUUCAUCACUGAGUUUUUGAUUUGCUCAAUUUAAUUCCUGAACUUUCAUCUAAUAUUUCAUCUAAUCUCUAACUAUUUGAAAAUUGACCAAUCCCCCCCUUUUUUUAAUACGAAACUGUUUUUUUUUUAUAAAUAAAAAAAAAUACCAAACUGGUUUUUUUUUUUGUCGAAAAAAUACCACAUUUAUGCAAAGUAAUAAAGGUCAAUAUUUCUUUCCUUUCUCCAUAUUAAAAACAAAUGGGGAAAGGGAUAAUAAUAAUCAACAAAGGUGAAUCUUGCAUUUUUUUUUUUUUUGUAUAAAGGGAACCUCCGUGCGCCGCUUUGCGGCAGAGUAAACCCUGGAGGAGCAGUAGAAUCACCACUAUCCUUGCUGUCUCAGGUAAGUCCUGGGUUCUUUUCUCGGUUUCGAACUUAGGACCUCUCUCGAAAGGAACCUACGCACAACCACUACGCCGCCACCACGGGUGGUUUUGAUUUUUUUUUUUUGUAUAUGCAAAUUACUUGAAUAAUGUACAAAAGCCCAUAAAUUGAUUUUUCCCUUUUUGGUGAAGUCCAUAAAAAGAAUCGAUUUAUGGGCUUUUGUACAUUAUUCAAGUAAUUUGCACGCGGUGUCUACUGUGGAAUAUGAUAGUUGGGCUUGUUUGUUGCAUAGGUGUAUACAUAGUUUGUUUUUUUUUUUUUGGUCGAAGUAUACAUAGUUUGAGAGGUAGCAAAUUUUAGCAGUUAUUUGUGAGCGUCUCUCUUUUCUUCCCCACCCUCUUUUUUCCCUCCCGCAUUGAGAUUACUACAUGUACAUGUAUAUUAAGUCUUUGUAAGAGAUGAGGAAGAUGAAGUUGAAUACAGGGUUAGUCGUGCCAGUGGUAUUUAUUAAUGUAAUGUAAAUUUUUCUCUGAUUUUUGAUUAUUUAAUGCUAAAAUCAUAUCUUUUGCGAAAUUUAGUUUGGAUCAUUGGAAAUUUCGAGUGGCACAGAUUUGUCAGAUUCUUGCAAGGGGCAACAACUCCCACAAAGCUCUUAACGCUUUGUCCAUUUGUAUAUCAUUAUUACUGUCGUUUGAGCUCGCGUCACAGGAUUAAAUCAGUUGGUAGUUGUUCUCCUUUUUCUUCUCCCCCUCUUGCUCCUCAAUUGUUGGUUCUUCUGACAAAUUUAAAGCAAGAUUUUUUUUUUUCGAGGGAUAGAAAAUUGUUAAUACUUCUUGAUUAUUAUUGAGGGAAAUUACAAAUUCGGUGUAUUUUCCUUCCCAAUUUUCUUCACCCUUGCUCCCAAACACAGCCCAAGAGCUAAGCAUCUCGAAAUGAUCCAUGUGAUCUUUAAGAAAAUAAUUGGACGAAAAAAGCAAUAGGAUAGUCAAAGAUACUCUUACAUACGUUAAUGGGAUUGGCCCGUAGUUGAAGAAAAUGUAUCUAAUUCCACCAAAAUAUUGCAAUGCACUUCAAAUAGUCCUGAGGUCGAUUGCACCUAUUAGUAGUAGUUUGAUUUCAUAGGCAUAAUAUGUUUGAAGCGGAAACACGAUUGCACUUAUAAUUAGUAAUCUGCAUUGAUGGAUGGUAAUUUGACCACAGAGUUUGUACUAAGAAAAUGUUAACAGUUAGUAAUUAAUUAAUGGAACAGUAAAAUAUAUCAAAUUGUCAUCAGUGACGCCUCUUAUACUUAGUAAUUGUCCUGAACUAUAUAUAUAUUUAGAGAAAACUAUGGGAGCAAAACUCAUUCUUUUGGUCAACAAGCAGAACUCGAUCAUUGGAAUUGAGAAGUAUCAUUUCACAGAUGACAAUCGGAAUCCAAACUUCCAAGUCUCCCACGAAGAUAGGGCCAAAUUAUUGCAGCACUCUAUGCAGCAGAAAGUUAGUACCGCCAAAUGUGUACCUAUGAUACCACCCUGCUGUCCCAGCCAGUUUGCUAUGAAAUGAAGCAUGCGAGUUUGUGCCAAUGAAAUGGGCGUAAUCAUCAUAAUGCUUUAUGUGACAUCCCAAAUUUUCAACCCUAUCUUCUACUGAAUAAAUCGGGCAUUUCAUUGACGCGUCUAUAGGGUUAUUCUCAGAGCCGAUCACUCUCGAGAUAACUAGACUAUCUGGGAAAAUUAUUAAGGAAUUUUAAGGCAAUAGACUUGAGAACUCGAUCAAGAAUCGGCUUCUCGACCGUGUCCAUCUUUAGAGGCCAUUACGGCACAGUUAAAAAUCGAUUUGAAAUCAGAGAUAGACUGAAUCGACAGAGAUGUGUGGCUAAUCGUGGGUGACACCAUUAAAUUAGAAAAUUCUCGUCGGCCGACACUAGACUGAUUUUCUUAUUGUUUUGGUAUCAUGUGUUCGUAAUUGAAUCAUCGAGAUUUUCACGACAAUCAAGAGUCGCCAUUGAGUCGAGUGGGUUCAUAGUGGCUCGAAGAAAAUCGACCACGGGUCAUUUGCCUUAAAAAGUUCUGAAAACUACCCGAUAGUCUAGGUCACGCUAAAAACGCGCCGAAUGAAAAUUAACCGCCAAUUCGAUUCCGAUUUUAGAAAUUGAAGUUUUGGCCAUGUCACAAUAAAUUUUAGGAGCAUCGACUCAGUCUCAGAAGAUUUUUCUGACAACUGACACUUUUUGGGAAAAAGUCGUCGCCGGGUUGUUUUAGUGCAGAAAAUGCCGGAAAUGGUUUUCAGUUGCAAAAUUGAGAUGCAUGUUGGAUGCAUGGGUGAAGAAAAAUAAUGAGUGAAACAUUGAGGCGUCGAUUGAUUUUUUUUGAAGCCAAAUGAGGAUGAAUUGAGAUUUUUCAAGUGUCCAAUUGAGAGGAGAUGAUGCCAAUUUCGUAAUCCCCUCCCCCUAGCCCAAAAUUGAUCAAUUGAGAAGUUGUGAGAGUUGUUGGUGUGGCCUAAUGAAGGCCAAGGGUUAAUGCUUGGCCUAGAUUGAUUGUUGAAGAUAUUUCUUGUGGAAAAUUGGCAAGGAUGGCCCACCCUCUCUCUUAUCUUCUUCCUCACGCACGGCUCCUCUUCAUUUUAACUCUGCGGUCUCAGCUUCUGCUUUAUUUCUUUCGGUCGAAGUCCAGCCCAGCAAAGCCUCCUCCGCGUGUCUUCCUCAACUCCACGAACGCCCUGCUUCACUAGCUCUUGUCGCCCACCAACAAUCCGCACGCCUGUGUCCCUCCUGCUUUGGCCUCGUAUACAGCAACUGGUCAUCAAUUUCUCCACGAAGACCCAAGCUACUGAAGCGUUGAAGAAACCCUGCAACGCCAACGAAGAUCCCUGCAGCAGUUUCACCGAAUUCUCCCUGCCAGCAAAGCCCAUUUUCGUUUGUCUUUGUUUCCACCGAAGCUGAUCCUGCCGAGCUUGCUGCCACUUGGCCGUGUGUACGUCUGGUUCGGUCAACAACAGCUUCAAUUGAAGCUCUCGGUUGACCGCUUGAAGCCCACGAUUCCACCGAGUUGGUCGGCCACUCACGCCACACCAACAGAGAAGCCGCAGGAACGGAGGCAGUCAACCAUGCCAUCCACCGAAGACCAAGACUCCCUCACGCUGCCAGGCGUCCGCCAUCGUCCACGAGCGGCUUCCGUCUUCAGUCUUCUCCAGCGGCGUGCCCUCAGCCCUCACGAAAUUGUCGAGGCCCAUCUCACCAGCAACGGCCCAGCGAAGCCAGCGAAAUCUGCAAGCUUCAGUCAGUCCAAAUUCAGCCCUGCAGAAAUUCAAGUCAGCGACUCCUUCGCUGGAUUCCUCUUGCGGGCAGCCCAGCAGCUCAAUUGAGGCCCAAGUGAAUUCACAAGCCCAGUUUUUGAGGCCCAAAAAUCCAGCAACUCCAUUAAGCCCAAUAGCAGCUAGACCCAAGUCCAAGAGCAAGCCCAUUCCAGUGCAAGGACAAAUCUCAAUUGGGCUGAGAUUUGUUGGGUCAAGCUUAAGGCCCGGUCCAAGCCCGCCGGUGUUGUCGAAAGUCCAAUUUCGGCCACCGUCGCGUCGCCGUUGCGGUGAUUCGAUCUCCGCUGUUAUCAAGUGAGUUUUACUCACUAAAGCUUUCUUAGUUUGCUAAUUAUACUUAAGGUUGGUUAGAUUUAAUUAAAUGCAAUUAGAUGGUUAGAUUAGUUUAGAUCAAUUAAAUUAGAGACUUAAUGAUGCAUGUUAGGUGGUUAGAAAUAGACAUUAGCAAGUAGACAUGCCAUGUUAUUUAUGGAAUGAGUCUCGGUAAUUUUCCGGGCUUGUCUCGGUAUCCAAUUUGGCAUUAUGAGCCUAAAUUGGAUUUUUUUAAUUAUUUAUUUAAUUUUCGAAAUUAAUUAAUUAAUUAUUUAUUUUUUUCCGGAAAUUCAACUGGGAUGGCCGGUGACCGGAAUUUCGUGCUGAUUGUUGUGGUGCAGUCCGUUUUUUUAUUUGAGCUUUAUUUGGUGCUAAAGUAAUUUAGGAGUGAAUUUAAGAUUUAUUCCUAAGCUAGAUCUUGAGAGGGUCGGGUGGGAUCGAAAAGCCACUAGAUCUUGAGAGGGUCGGGUGGGACCGAAAAGCCACUAGAUCUUGAGAGGGUCGGGUGGGAUCGAAAAGCCACUAGAUCUUGAGAGGGUCGGGUGGGACCGAAAAGUCACUAGUUCUUGAGAGGGUCGGGUGGGACCGAAAAGCCACUAGAUCUUGAGAGGGUCGGGUGGGACCGUAAAGCCACUAAAUCUAAGGAAUUGCUUGAAGUAGGAUGAACGACCUAGAAAGGGUCCGCCUGACAUGGAAUCGACUAGGUCGAUUUGAUCGAUGCUUCGAUCGGUGAUGUGAUUGUUUGAAUGCCUAUUGAACUGUACUAAUAUGCAGAUGGAAUCUGAGGCCAAGGUAAGUCCUCCAACUCGUGUCGUGUUUAGGCAGCCUAUAGUGUAUUGGCUUUCUAAUCGAGUCUUAGGGGGUAGGACUCGCUGAGACGUGGUCUCAUUGGUUAUUGAAUAACUAUUUCAGGACCCUAAGAAGAAACUGAGGAGGAGGAACCUAAAGAGAAGAAAGACUUUUGAAGAAGAAGAUGAUCCAAAGAGGGAUCUUGAGUAUAACCCGGAUGUGGACUGAGAUCCCAUCCCUUUUUGUAAACCCUGUCUUAGCAUAGAUAGGUGUGAGACAAGUAUGUUGUAAAUAGUAUUGUAAAUACUCUAUGAGUUGCGCUGUUAAGGAAAGUGUGGUUGUGAAUUUCAAUAUGAAGAAUAUGGCCUGCAUUCCUAUCCCAUUGUUUUAUUGUCUGGGGAUUUAUAACUGCUUCCGCAUGUGCUUAAUAAAAAGAAAGGGUCGGCGAUACAUAGUCCUGGGAUAUCGCAUUCUAAAAUCGACCAAGUAGAAGGAUGUGCGCGCGUCCGAGGAUCUGCGCGUGACACUUUAACUCAAUGAGGCUUUGAAAUGCAUUGUGAGGUUGGACUAGGCUACAGUCAACGUUUAGGAUUUUCUUUUUUUUUGCAAGAGAUAAGACAUAUUUUCAGCCCGCAUUACCUGUAUUUCAAUGCAUCCAUCACCUAUUGUGCAACAUAUUUGACUCAUGAAAAAGAAGGCAGAUGAACAAGGUUAUGCCUGGACGGAAGUCACCAUUACAAACAGAAAGACUUAGUUUUUUGCACAACUUGGCAUUCUUAAUAGUAGGAUCCUUCAAAUGCAAGGUUAUAGAAGCAGUGAUGAAAGGCUUCUCAACAGUCAUGAAAUCAAUAUAAUGACCUUCACAAACUUGCAGGAACAAAACUCCAACGUAAAUUGAGUGCUUUUCCGAAACAAAAACAAACCCAAAAGCAAGGCUUCUUUUGCUUUUGGUCAAGAAAAAACUGUACACCCUACAUAUGCUUGUCUAUUUGUUGCAACCAGUAACAGCAGCAUACAAAACAAAUUCACCAUCAAAGCAUCGGAGGGAAAAUACGUGAGUAAGGAGAUAUAACAGCUUCCUGUACGUACUUUUUAGAAUUGUUUGGAUCGGGAACCCACUGCAUCUCACUUAUGUUGCGAGUCUCGACAUAAGUCAUGGUGAAUUCGCCCGCCUUCUCGAUGUUCCCUCUCUUCCCUGCUCUCAACAGAAGAUGGUUCCGGUUGUAAGAGAAAAUCCCAUUGGUCAAACGGAUGAUAUCCCCGGGCUUGAACAGGUCGCACUCCUCACCCCAGAACUGAAAAUGCACGGCCGCAGUCUCAUGUGCCACAAGUGCCUAGCAUGUCUUGCUCUGUCUUUCUGUGGGAACCCUGCCUUUGUCCAGUAGAAUGAAUUGUGUGGUUAUGUUGUUCUGUGCUGCAGGUGAUAUGUCUUUGAUAGAGAGCAUACUGGUGUAACCAGAUACAGAGUCACUGAAACUAUAUGACCAAGAAGUUAAAAGAAAACUACAAUACGAAGGCAACCUUAUAAUACUCACUUUGGAAUGAACUUGUCAUAAGCACAAACUAGGGAGUUCUAGGCAAUAAAGAUGAGUUUUAGUUCUGGAAGAACAGAACAACAAACUAUUUCAAACGACCAGAAACGUGGUCGGCCGUGCCUCCGAAACACCGCCUGGCCCCGAUCUGAACAGAGGAG
rnacentral:lncRNA from 1 species